AUUUAAGUAGUUUAAUUUUAAAACUUUAGCUUGUGGGUCUAAUGAUGUAUAUAUUACUUUAAAUU
rnacentral:tRNA from 1 species